rnacentral:rRNA from 1 species
UACGGGGGGGGCAAGCGUUGUUCGGAAUUACUGGGCGUAAAGGGCGCGUAGGCGGCCUGCUAAGUCGGACGUGAAAUCCCUCGGCUCAACCGAGGAACUGCGUCCGAUACUGGUGGGCUUGAAUCCGGGAGAGGGAUGCAGAAUUCCAGGUGUAGCGGUGAAAUGCGUAGAUAUCUGGAGGAAUACCGGUGGCGAAGGCGGCAUCCUGGACCGGCAUUGACGCUGAUGAGCGAAAGCUAGGGGAGCAAACGGG